GGGGAACGGUGUGCAUGGUGUCCAUCCAUGUCAUGUGUUGUUGCCGGUCUGCGUUUUGCAGGCUGUGUGUCAACGCUCACUCCAUGCCCUGCAGCCACAAAACAUAAGGAGAUCAUAGUACUGGCCAUUGUUGAUCACGGAUGGCCAGCCUCCAAACUCUCCGACAUUU